rnacentral:ncRNA from 2 species
CGCCCUACCUAGGGGUGUCCCGCAAGGGGCUGAGAUUCUGCUGGGCCGCAAGGCAGCGCAGCGACCCUUCGAACCUGAUCCGGAUCAUGCCGGCGAAGGGACAGGUCUCGCGGGCUCUC